AGCAGCCGCGGUAAUUCCAGCUCCAAUAGCGUAUAUUAAAGUUGUUGCAGUUAAAAAGCUCGUAGUUGAAUUUCGGGGUUAGUAGGUUGGUCAUGCCUCUGGUAUGUACUGGUCUCACUGAUUCCUCCUUCCUGAUGAGCCUUAAUGCCAUUAAUUUGGUGUUUUGGGGAAUUUGGACUGUUACUUUGAAAAAAUUAGAGUGUUUAAAGCAAGCUAACGCUUGAAUACAUUAGCAUGGAAUAAUGAAAUAGGACGUUCGAUCCUAUUUUGUUGGUUUCUAGGAUUGACGUAAUGAUUAAUAGGGAUAGUUGGGGGGCAUUAGUAUUCAAUUGUCAGAGGUGAAAUUCUUGGAUUUUAUUGAAGACUAACUACUGCGAAAAGCAUUUGCCAAGGAUGUUUUCAUUAAUCAAGAACGAAAGUUAGGGGAUCGAAGACGAUCAGAUACCGUCGUAGUCUUAACCAUAAACUAUGCCGACUAGGGAUCGGAUGAUGUUAAUUUUUAAUGACUCAUUCGGCGCCU
rnacentral:rRNA from 1 species